rnacentral:rRNA from 1 species
CCUACGGGAGGCAGCAGUUUCGAAUCAUUCACAAUGGGCGAAAGCCUGAUGGUGCGACGCCGCGUGAGGGAUGAAGGUCUUCGGAUUGUAAACCUCUGUCACCGGGGAAGAAACGCUUCAAGCUAAUAGCUUGAAGCCUGACUUAACCCGGAGAGGAAGCAGUGGCUAACUCUGUGCCAGCAGCCGCGGUAAUACAGAGACUGCAAGCGUUAUUCGGAUUCACUGGGCGUAAAGGGUGCGCAGGCGGCCGUGUGUGUGAGGCGUGAAAGCCCGGGGCUUAACCCCGGAAUUGCACCUCAAACUACACGGCUAGAGCAUUGGAGAGGGUAGCAGAAUUCAUGGUGUAGCAGUGAAAUGCGUAGAUAUCAUGAGGAAUACCAGAGGCGAAGGCGGCUACCUGGACAAUUGCUGACGCUCAGGCACGAAAGCGUGGGGAGCAAAAGGGAUUAGAUACCCCUGUAGUCCACGCCCUAAACGGUGCACACUAGGUCUUGGCGGAUUCGACCCCACAGGGCCCAAGCUAACGCGUUAAGUGUGCCGCCUGNGACGACGCGCGAGACGAAACACGAAGAGUAGUAGACGACGAGAGAGCGACGGACGGACGACGACGGGAGGGAGGAG